rnacentral:rRNA from 1 species
AACGAACGCUGGCGGCAUGCCUAACACAUGCAAGUCGAACGAGAUCUUCGGGUCUAGUGGCGCACGGGUGCGUAACGCGUGGGAAUCUGCCCUUUGGUUCGGAAUAACAGUUGGAAACGACUGCUAAUACCGGAUGAUGACGAAAGUCCCAAGAUUUAUCGCCGGAGGAUGAGCCCGCGUAGGAUUAGCUAGUUGGUGUGGUAAAGGCGCACCAAAGCGACGAUCCUUAGCUGGUCUGAGAGGAUGAACAGCCACACUGGGACUGAGACACGGCCCAGGCUCCUACGGGAGGCAGCAGUGGGGAAUAUUGGACAAUGGGCGAAAGCCUGAUCCAGCAAUGCCGCGUGAGUGAUGAAGGCCUUAGGGUUGUAAAGCUCUUUUACCCGGGAUGAUAAUGACAGUACCGGGAGAAUAAGCUCCGGCUAACUCCGUGCCAGCAGCCGCGGUAA